rnacentral:rRNA from 1 species
AUAUCAAUAAGCGGAGGAAAAGAAACCAACAGGGAUUGCCCUAGUAACGGCGAGUGAAGCGGCAAGAGCUCAAAUUUGAAAUCUGGCUUCGGCCCGAGUUGUAAUUUGUAGAGGAUGUUUCGGGCACCGCCCCGGCGUAAGUCCCUUGGAACAGGGCGUCAUAGAGGGUGAGAAUCCCGUCUGGCGUCGUGGUAGGGCCCAUGUGAAACUCCUUCGACGAGUCGAGUUGUUUGGGAAUGCAGCUCAAAAUGGGUGGUAAAUUUCAUCUAAAGCUAAAUAUUGGCCAGAGACCGAUAGCGCACAAGUAGAGUGAUCGAAAGAUGAAAAGCACUUUGAAAAGAGAGUUAAACAGUAUGUGAAAUUGUUGAAAGGGAAGCGCUUACAACCAGACUUGAGCCCGUCGGUUCCCCCUCGCUUCUGCGUGGGCUACUCCGGCGGGUCCAGGCCAACAUCGGUUCGGGUGGCUGGUCAAAGGCCCUGGGAAUGUAUCUCGCCUCCGGGCUUGACUUAUAGCCCAGGGUGUCAUGCGGCCUACCCGGACCGAGGAACGCGCUUCGGCUCGGAUGUUGGCGUAAUGGUUGUCAGCGGCCCGUCUUGAAACACGGACCAAGGAGUCGAAGAGCUAUGCGAGUGUUUGGGUGUCAAACCCGUACGCGUAAUGAAAGUGAACGGAGGUAGGAAGCUUCGGCUGCACUAUCGACCGAUCCUGAUGUUCUCGGAUGGAUUUGAGUAAGAGCAUAACUCUCCGGACCCGAAAGAUGGUGAACUAUGCCUGAAUAGGGUGAAGCCAGAGGAAACUCUGGUGGAGGCUCGCAGCGGUUCUGACGUGCAAAUCGAUCGUCAAAUUUGGGUAUAGGGGCGAAAGACUAAUCGAACCAUCUGGUAGCUGGUUCCUGCCGAAGUUUCCCUCAGGAUAGCAGUAACGUUUUCAGUUUUAUGAGGUAAAGCGAAUGAUUAGAGGCCUUGGGGUUGAAACAACCUUAACCUAUUCUCAAACUUUAAAUAUGUAAGAAGUCCUUGUUACUUAGUUGAACGUGGACAUUUGAAUGUAUCGUUACUAGUGGGCCAUUUUUGGUAAGCAGAACUGGCGAUGCGGGAUGAACCGAACGUGAGGUUAAGGUGCCGGACUGCACGCUCAUCAGACACCACAAAAGGUGUCAAUGCAUCUAGACAGCCGGACGGUGGCCAUGGAAGUCGGAAUCCGCUUAGGAGUGUGUAACAACUCACCGGCCGAAUGCAUUGGCCCUGAAAAUGGAUGGCGCUUAAGCGUGCGACCUAUACCUCGCCGUCAGGGUUGACAUGAUGCCCUGACGAGUAGGCAGGCGUGGAGGUUUGUGACGAAGC